GUGGGCGUUGGUCGGCAAGCCGGAAGCUGGCCCUAGACGGUGGCCCCGUGGGGACAAGCGCCUCCCGGCCUCUCGUGCGCGCUCACAGCCGCCGAGUUUUGACUCAGCAGUCGUUAGUCCCUCAGAGGGAAAGCACAGGGACAGGAGUUGUGAGGCUGCGCACUGCGCUAGGACGAUUUUAAAUAACUAAAUAAAUAGAUAAAUAAAUAAGUGGGUGGAGGGAAGUGGGAUAAAGAUGAAUCCUCCCUUGGAAGGUUUGUUUAGUGAAUAAAAUUGGAAAGGCGCACCUGGCGUGGGAAACAGCGAGUGCGAACCAAAGGAAGCGGGAAACGCGUCGCUUGCGGAGUGGGAGUAGCCACUGGACUGUGACGCUGGAGAAGAUAGACACGCAGAAAGGACCGGCUACUGUGACCACCAUCCUGGAGGCCAGCAGAAACUCUGUAACCUCGAUGCUGAGUGGUACAGCCAAUAUUCUGCCAGGAUGGACUAAUACGCUUUUGCUCCAAGCAUGCCACCAGCACUGGCAACCUUCAGUGCAUGGGACCCAGGCAGCCUCUUUGGAGAGCAUGUUGCUUGCUGGAAACCCGCCUGUUUCCCUCCCCUGAGCAACUCGCUCUACUCACACAACCACCAGCCAUUUGCUCUGCUUUGCCAGGCCCAGGAGGGUGAAGAGACAAACCAGAAGCACCAAGAGCAGCAGGAGGACAUAGGCCAACCACCUGCAGGACGGAGGACGGAGGAGACAGUGAGCCUCAGGAGGCUAUCAGCACCCCCGAACCACCCCAACCCAAUCUGGUCCUGUGACCUCCCUGCUGCCCGGUGACAUGAUACAUGGUCUCACAAGACCCCGGAGCGCUCUGCAGCAUAGGUGUGGGACUGAAGCACCUGGUUCCUACCUUGACCACUUCACAUACGAGUUCUGUGCUUGUGGGCACAACGGUCGACCUCUGAAUAGGAUUCCCCAACUGGUAGGGUGUCAGUCACCCGUGACCUAAUUGAAUAUUUCAGAGGUAUGGUGCAAGGGUCUCAACUACCCAAUUAGCCAUGUAACCUGUUUGCCUCAGUUUCCCUACCAGUCACAUGAAGGCAUAAUAGGGUCAACCUCAAAUUCUGUUGCGAGGUAAAUGAGUGGGCUUGUGGAUAUAGUUAAUGUUAUAAAUCACUAUCCAGGGGGUUUUGAAUGCUACAUCAUGUUUACUUAAGUAAGUAAGGCACCAGGACCGCAGGGGAGGAUGCUUGGGCGGUCCCAAGUAGUGCUCAGCACACUGCAAAUGCUCAGCUGUAGUGUCAUUCUUAGCAGUUCCCAUGGAGCUGAGGUUUGCACCCCGAGUCCCUGUCCCUGACCACACUGCCAGGCUCACCUCCGCGGCCCUGAUGCAUAGGGCCUCUCUAAUGUCAGACACUUUUCCAGAGCAUCUUCCCAGGAUCGCGUUCACGGCUGCCACUACCUCCCUGUCCAAGCUCCCGGGAUCCUAGUAACCAUGACAGAGAACCUUCCUGCCGCCCUCUGACUUGGUGCCCCACCGUGUAUCCACAGCAGGGAUUGUUUCAGCCCCAGGGUGCUUGUACCGAGGAGCAUGGCCUCCUGCUUGGGCAUAGGAGAUUCAGGAGUAUCGGCUCAAAGCAAGCAGGAAUGAAAUAACUCUAAGUAGGUGAAGACUGGUUGUGUCGGCUGCUGAGAUGGAUGGCUGCCCCAGAGGGCUGCAUAGCUUGUCCGGUCCCCUUUAGUAUGGCCCUUCUAAACACCCUGACACAAGCUGCCUGCCUGUCCCCAGACAAGCCCCUUCCUAUUUAUUUUCCUCCAAAGCACUCAUUACCCACCUUACAGGAAAUGUGUUUUGCUUUUUAAAAAUAUUUUUAUUCUUAUAUGUACAAGUGUUUUGCUUACAUGUAUGUAUGUCUACCAAAUGCAUGCCUGGUGUCUGCAGAGGUGAGAAGAAAGUCUUGGAUCCCACAGCGCUGGAGUUACAGAUAGUUGUGAGCCACCAUAUGAGUGCUGGGAACUGAACCCAGGUCCUUUACAAAGCCCAGCAAGUGCUCUUAACCACGGGACCAUCUCUCCAGGCCUCCCCUCUCCCUCUUGAUGCCACUAUGAACAGGCUAGGUAGGCAACUCUAUCCCCGAAUCAUAUUCCCAGCUCUUCAGUAGUGAAUUCUAGGUAAGUGAGCCACACCCCAAGCCUUCACGGGGGGGGGGGGGAUUCUAGGCAGAUGUUUUACCACUAAGUCACAUUCUCAAUCCUUUAUCAGCAGAUUCUAGGCAAGUAUUCUUCCAUUAUCACAUCCUCAGCCUUUUUACUUUUUAUUUGGAGACAAUGUCUCACUAAGUUAUUCAUACUGGCCUUGAGAUCUGUAGCCCAAACAGGGCUUGGGUUUUCAAUCCUUUUACUGAGUCUCUGGAGCAGUUGAGAUUACAGACCUAUUUCCCCAGGCCUGGCUUCGUGGGCCUAUUUUAUAUUGCUCUCCCAGCUGAGAAGGGCCCCUCCUAUGCGGGAUUUACUGUGUUAUCCCCUCUGCUUGGUACAUCUGUAUUUUCCUGG
rnacentral:lncRNA from 1 species